CCUACGGGGGGCAGCAGUGAGGAAUAUUGGUCAAUGGACGAGAGUCUGAACCAGCCAAGUAGCGUGAAGGAUGACUGCCCUAUGGGGUGUAAACUUCGGUUAUAAAGGAAUAAAACGAGGCAAGUGUGCCUUUUUGCAUGUACCUUAUGAAUAAGGAUCGGCUAACUCCGUGCCAGCAGCCGCGGUAAUACGGAGGAUCCGAGCGUUAUCCGGAUUUAGUGGGUUUAAAGGGAGCGUAGAGGGGUUGUUACGUCAGUUGUGAAAGUUUGCGGCUCAACCGUAAAAUUGCAAUUGAUACUGGCAGUCUUGAGUACAGUUGAGGUAGGCGGAAUUCGUGUUGUAGCGGUGACAUGCUUAGCUCUCACG
rnacentral:rRNA from 1 species